UGCUGCUCUCCGGUGCAACCUCGUGGCAUAAGGAAGUAAUGUCCAUCUUGAAACUGUAGCCAUACAAUCUCCAUCUCGCUGGACGAGUUGAGAUUACUCUGUGUUCAACCGAACACUCUAACAGAUCCGAAGGAGACCGCCGAGCAAUUCGCAUCUUCAUCCGUUGGCCUACAGAAGUGAAGAGAUUAAAGAUUUCUCUUCCAUCUUCAAUCAAGUCGACAUUUCUGAGUUCUCCGCCAGCCCGCCGAGAAUCAACAGCCGUACCGCCCGCUGACAAUCAACAGCUGUACCGCCCGCCGACAGAGCGAGGAAACGGCCUCCCGUCAUCACCCGAGCCUCAAGGAACAGGGUCAAAGUUAAAGGACGGAGGAAAACACAUUCUACCUGUGUCCUCAUGCGAUUCAACUGACUCUCUGAAGCUCACUUUCACAAAGGCCAGAUGGAGGUUCACCCAACAGUAUCUGAUGUCACCAAGACAGUCUGCCACAGGGAAGCAAUGACACCCAAGUAUGUCUGUUUGAGUGCCUGCACUGGUGUUACUGCUUAACACAGAUGGCAAGAGUGGAACCGCAUUAUGCCUGUGGAAAAUUACAACCUCUGCAAGCCUCGUUGGGCGCCAUUGUCACAUUCUCCCGGCAGAGACUGUGAUCCUAUAAGAGCCUUUCUGCCUCCCAGACGCUGACUUUCUGGUGGCUGAUUGACAAGAAAAGAAGGGAUGACUUGACUCAAUGAAGCAUAACAAGGGUAAUCUUCCAGCUUUAGAGGGAUGCUGGCUGGAGCAUAGUUCUGUAAAAUGUAGAGAAUAUGAUGAGUGAAAUCCACUGGGACCUCUGUGAUGUUAUCCGAGCCACUUGCAGUGUUCCUUUUGAACCCAUACUUCAGAAAAGUUGCAGGAACAGCAAGUCCAGCCAAACUGAAAUGCACCUAGGUUUUAAUUAUGUGACAUGUGAGUAGACUUGUUAAGGAGGUUUAUUUGCUCUUUAUUUGAAAUAUUUUUUUGUUGGUUGAUGUUAGGAUUGUUCAUUUUAUGAUUAAAGAGACUCCCAACUUUUAUGCUCUUUGAUGAGUAGCUUUGAAUAGUGAGACUCCUUAAGCCUCUGUGGAGUGGUAUUAUUCACCGGUUUCUGCAAUAAUUGGCUUUCCACAGUAUUAUAUUUGCAUUAGAUUUAUAAUCUGCUUGUAUUUACUUCCAAAUAUGUGUCUUGGUAUUUGUUUUUAAAACACCAAAUGUCAAUGUCCAAAACAAAUACAUAAACAAAUUCCAAACAAAAUGACGCAGUAAUCUAUGAGAAAUAACAGAUCACUGCCUUGCUUAUUCAUUUAUGGCAGAUCUGACACAGCGUCAAACAUGUCAGAACCGCCUCUGAU